rnacentral:rRNA from 1 species
AGCGUUGUUCGGAAUUACUGGGCGUAAAGGGCUCGUAGGCGGCCAACUAAGUCAGACGUGAAAUCCCUCGGCUUAACCGGGGAACUGCGUCUGAUACUGGAUGGCUAGAGGUUGGGAGAGGGAUGCGGAAUUCCAGGUGUAGCGGUGAAAUGCGUAGAUAUCUGGAGGAACACCGGUGGCGAAGGCGGCAUCCUGGACCAAUUCUGACGCUGAGGAGCGAAAGCCAGGGGAGCAAACGGG